rnacentral:sRNA from 1 species
UUUUGAUAACUCGUGU